ensembl:lncRNA
CGCAGCCCAGCUCCAUGUCCUCGCGCUCUCCCUUCUGCCGGCGCCAGCAAUUGCGCGGCUGCCCGAUUCCAUUUUGGAAAACCAGGAAGAGCUGGAAAUUGAUGACAAUUCUACAUUUUGAACAGUUGGAGCACAAGAUUCACAUUCACUCAAUUUCCUGCUGGCAGCAACUCAAAGCUGCACUGCAAAGAAAAAGGUGGGGAAAACUGAGGUACAAUUGUUCCCAAUUUGCUAAAGGACACCUAACAAAUCUCUGUCAGAGAUAGCAAUGGAACCCACUUGUGUGUCUCCACCAGAAGACUCUGAAAGACUGAGGCUUGCUCAUGUCUGAGGGGCACAAGCUGUACUGGGCCAUGCCAGGGCCGGACAUUGUGCUUUGAGGGAUACAAAGCUUCUGGGCUCUUUUGACCUUAUGGGACCGUACAGCUAUCUGACAUUACACCCAAGGGUCGAGUACCAUUUCUUCUCCCAUGAUGUAUGCAGCUUUAUUCCCCACCUCAUGGGGAGUCAUGGGUGACUUGAAAUUUUAGCUUUGUUCAACCUUUACAUUUAAUGAGACUAAAUUUUGAAACUGUAGUUGAUCCCUAUGCAAUGGAAGAGAUCUUACACUUUAAAUUCUAUGCACAGAUUAGCCAUACCAUGGUAUUUUCUACACAAUAAGCAUGUUUAUACACAGCUUUGCAAUUGUUUUAGCAACAAGCCUUGAAUCCCAUGAAUUGUUGUACAUUACUGUUCUACAGACCACCUGGGUGGGGGAAAGCAAUGUAGUUACUUUGUAGUUUUGAAGUGACUGGAAAUUACUUUUGAAGGAGCUAUUCAAAGUUGGGUUGACUUUUCAAUCCUCUGCCUGGGGACAUAAGAACAUUUCUGUACUUUUUUUUUUUUUCAACUGNNNNNNNNNNNNNNNNNNNNNNNNNNNNNNNNNNNNNUUCCUGCCCUUCUCUGCCUUUGCUACAAUGGGGGAGGGUAGCUGGUGCUUUAUGGGAGUCACCAAUAACAAAGAGAGACAUGAAUGCUAAUUUUGCCAGUUCUCAGAGUUGGUCAAAGAAGGUGUUUUAAAUAGGCUAGAUGUCACUCGCAUGCUGCUACUCAAAGGAAUUAAUGGUUGGAUUAAGUUUGCGAAUAUAAAUUAUAGGAUUUCUAGCUUCACUUCACCAUCAUCCCUAUCAAAUUACUUUUGGUGCAGAUUCAAUGCCAGAUGGCUCCUCAAAUGUGUCAGAUGUCCAUGCAGAAAAUUCAUUUCAGGGUCACUUCUUUGUUUUGUUUCCUUGAAGACCCUAUUGAUUCCUGCUCCCCAUGGAGAAGGAUUUUAUUGAGCUCUUGGGAAAGGGAAUGCUGUUUAGAGGAGACUGCUGAAAGAUCAAAUCCCUGAAGAGCAAGCAGAAAACUGAGCCAAACCAGAAAUGCAACAUGGAAGAGUGAAAAAGAUAGUGUUCCAAUUUACAUUCCUUUAAAUUGGUUUAAUGUUAAUGAAACUCAAUCAAGACUUAAGAAUAUGAUAAUAAUUUGCACUAAGCAUUGCCAGAAAAGUAUAGAGGGGUCAUAAGGCUUUAUCUUGAUGUUAAAAUUUAAAGAAUUGAUUUAGUUAAACCAGGGAAAAUGUCUGUGUGAAUAUUUACAUGUGCUGGCUAAAAUUGGCCAUAGGAGUUUAGCUUGUGCUUGUAAAAAGAAAGUAAUGAGGUAAGCUAAACUGAUAUAAGAGGUUUACAUUGCAUUAAGAGUGUUCAUUCAGGGAUUUGUAGAGUUUAACUAAAUCAUUUUAAAAAUCUGAACUGUGUGUUUAGAUCAAAUGUUAGCAUAAAGAAAGACUUGGGUAUAAAAUUUAUUACACUGACCCCCGACUAUGGGGGCCUCAGUCUAGGAGCAAAUGGAAAAGGUAGUUUCUAAAAUCAUCUAAUGUUGUUAUCUGUAAAUAUUAACUGUCUGACUUUGAAGUGAUUAACAUGAACACUGAUAUUGCACUUCUCUGCCCUGCAUUUUAAUGGCUUUAGUUCUUUAGAGUUAGAGCAGCAUCUUUCUCCGUUUGCAUAUUUGUGAGUAUCCACAUGCAAGGGCCUGCAAAGACACACUAGUCAUUAAAGGACCAUUAGAGCAAGAACUCAGAAUUUGGAAGCUGCCUAGAGAGCAGGAAUAUUUAAAUAAUAGCAAUAAGCAUGCUGGAGACUUCAGAAGAUUAAAGGAUGCUGGAGUAAUUCCAAGCAAUAAAUCUGAUCUCUACAUAUACUGUAGCGAGUUU